UUUGUCAUCAGUAACAACAUAUAAAAAUUUCAAAAGCUUUGGUUGAAUGUUUCAUGAGAAAAUGCACGGACACGACUGGAAACGCCAUUUUUCAAUCUUUCAAGAACCAUAACUCCUGAACGGUAAAAGUCAAAAUCGCCAUUAUUGAACUUGACCUUCAUUUAGUUGUCAGUAACAACAUAUUAAAAUUUUGGAAGCUUUGGUAGAACAGUUCAUGCGUAAAUGCACGGACACGACUGGAAACUCCAUUUUUCAAUCUUUCAAGAACCAUAACUCCUGAACGGUAAAAG
rnacentral:lncRNA from 1 species